GAUUCCUGUGCCUACUGAGCUGAUAAUCAGUCCUAUAGAACCACUGGCUCAGUUCAGCAGGAACAGGAGU
rnacentral:pre_miRNA from 2 species